rnacentral:rRNA from 1 species
UACGUGGGGCGCAAGCGUUGUCCGGAAUUAUUGGGCGUAAAGAGCUCGUAGGCGGCCUGUUGCGUCCGCUGUGAAAUCCCGGGGCUCAACCCCGGGCCUGCAGUGGAUACGGGCUGGCUAGAGGCAGGCAGGGGAGAACGGAAUUCCUGGUGUAGCGGUGAAAUGCGCAGAUAUCAGGAGGAACACCGGUGGCGAAGGCGGCAUCCUGGACCAACACUGACGCUGAUGAGCGAAAGCCAGGGGAGCAAACGGG